AUGGGACUGUUCCACAGCAUGGGGAUGGGCUACAUGAUGAGCAACAGGAGCUCUGUGUCCAGGCAGCUCGUACUACAUCAAGUCUCAAGAGCAAUGCUCUCUCAGAGCACUGUCAGAAGGACAUGCCAGGACUGCCCAGAGACAAAUGGAAAAUGCAAUGUAAGAGAAGCAGGGGAGCCAAGCCUGCUGUUAAUAACCCAGUCUGUUUCAGACAUACUUGUUUCACCAUCAUCCUUCUGAAGCAUUUUGAAUAGAACCCCUAUGCAAAGGGAGACCUUAAUAAGAAACCUACUCCUGCUCUUCCUGGAACCACCAUGUUCAUUUUUCUUGAAAACAUAUAACUGUGGUAACUUUUGGCUUUUAAUCUGAUUUAUGACCCUUUGAGAUGCUGUUGAGGUUAUAGCUGAGGCCCUUAAAAUGGACAAAAUUAGUAGAAAACAUAAAUUUAAUUUGGUAAACUUAUAAUUAAAAUUAUAUCAAAAAAUCAGCACUGAGAGGAAAACUAUUACAUAAAAAAUGAUACUGGAAUGAGCAGAGUCCUCUGCACCUAUACACAUUUCUUCUAGCAGAUAUUCUGCUUGUCCUACUUUUGGGCAACUACUUUUGAUCAAAAUGCUGCAGACUAAAAAAGGUGGUCCUCAUUUUGUAGUGCUUGUUUUGGGUGAACAAAAUUGUCUUCUGUCUUUAGAUGUUGAAUGAUUAUUUGAAAGCAACCUGAUGAAUAGAAGACCGUGUACUCUCACUUGGGGCAAAUGUAUUUUUUGAUUGAUUCAUAAUAAUUAAUCUUUGUCUAAGUGGAAUGCAUUAAUUUCUCCUACUGGUGGUGGCUGUACUUCUGUUUCUUUUCCCAAGUUAGAUGGUUGUGCUCCAGAGGCAUAUUUACUGAUUAAAUUGGACUGCAACCGGGUACUUAGGUUAUGUCACUGUUACCCAAAUGAUCUUUUAAAGAACACAGAGUACUUGUUUUUGCUGCUCUUACAUGCUCCACAUUUAAUCACAGAUCUUUGUAGCUUGUUAUUUCUAAAAUUCAGAUUACUGCGACUUAAAAGCCUCUCAGUCCCUGCCAGUGCUCGGUGACAUAAAAUAAACCCACAUAUUAAGAAAAGAACCA
rnacentral:lncRNA from 1 species